GAAGAUUGCAGUGAGCCAUGAUCACCCUAUUGCACUCUAGCCUGAGCAACAAGAGUGAAACUCCAUUAAAAGAAAAAUCCAGGAAGGCACAGAAGCAUUUUUGAAGUCUUGAUCAAAUAAAAUAAGUAUCAACAGCCUUUAGUUUCUUAUCGAAGCUGUCACUGGUAGUUAAUAUCUGUGUGGUCCUCGUGUCUGAACAUUUCACAGGAUUCCAAAAGGAAUGAUCUCAACAGCCAAGAAAUGUUAUAAAGGGUCGUUCUGGGAAGCUGUAUGCAUCAACAAAAACAAUCUUAAGUGAGUAAAUGGAAUUGUGCACUGAAAGGAGUCAAUUUUAUGAUGCACUCAUAUUCUUAACUGUGGAGUAGCUUUGAAAAUACAUUUGUGGUAAGAAUUUCUAAGAACGUUAUCACUAAAGAUGACAAAGUAUGGCAACGUUAAUGUGAUACCCCACUGCAUAGUAAAGACAAAUCUUUCUCUAUGUUCAUAUUUAACCACACUGCAUUUAAGGAAAUUUCAUUACCAAGAGAAAGCAAGUUAAACAGAGAAGAUCCAGAAAGAAAUAAAUGCAUAGGGUUAGACUCCAGGAAAAGUGAGUGCCUGCCUUACAUACCUAAAGUUAUUAGAGAAUAAAGCAUUUCACAGAAAGGUAUCUAGAUUGAUGGAAAUCUCCCUAUUUAAUGACCAAAUUAUUAAAUGAUUUUGGAGGAAAAUUAAUAAACUGAAUUACACUGCACCCACUUCUUCAAAAUCAUGUCAAAUAGAAAAACAUUUUGUUGACAUGAUUAUUAUGAAUAUGAAUCAUUGUAUCAUAUUAUAAAAUAAGAAAGUCCUGAGUACUUAUAAAGUUUUGGAGUUUUUCACUGUUCCCAGAUGCCUACACUUUCAGAAUUUUGAUGUCUGAAUUUUAAUAUUCUUUUUUUCUUUCUUCUUUCUUCCUUUUGAGCUGCCAUUUAUCUCUUCCUGUUACUGCUUGAGUGCUUCAAUGAUUGGUUACAACGCUCUUGUGCCCUUAUUUGCUAAGAGGCAUUGUGUAAAAAGUUGGAGUCAACGAGUAAAAAGUUAAAGCCACCUUUGGUAAAUUGACUUUCUAAGCAGUAUUUGCCAGCUAUUUUAGAUCCUCAGAAAAUCUAAUUUUCUCUCUCUCAUUUGCUUUUACUCAUUUUUGUGUAUCACACUUUGCCCUGCAAACAGAGGCAGUCUCAUGUUUGAUGUUAAAGUGUAUACUAUUACAUGUGUGUGUAUACAUAAUACAUAUGCACACAUGUUACGCACAUACAUAUAUACAGUGUAAGUACAAAGUCUAUAGUGUGGAGAAGAAAAAGAGUUGUUAGUUAGUUUAUGAUUUAAUAAGAGAAAGUUGUACCUACUUUAUAUACUUGAAGAUGUAGCAAGGAGAGUGAGAAUGAGAAAAAGACUUCAAUAUAGAAAUUUUAGAUGAAUUGCAGCACUGAUAUUUAAAUCUGAAAUUUCAACUGGAAAAGAAUUUCAAUGUAAAGAUUUAAAAUUGUCUUUUAAAAAUUUGGCCCAUUUUAUAUUCUAUAGUACUUCCAAAUUACAUGGACUAGGAUGUUUCAGUCAUAAAAAUGUAAUGUCUUGAAACAAACAAAUGACUAACACAAUUUAUGAUAUGUAGAGAAAAUUCCUGUAGAUAAUAAUCAUGAGUCACUUGAAGCCAGGAACCAGCUUUUUAUCUUCAUCUUUUUUGUCACAUCUAACCUAGCAUUGCACAUAGAAGAUACUCAAAAAAGGCUUUUGAAAGAAUGACUAUCAGUCUUGGACAAACUCAAAACUCAUAGCUGGCUGCCUGGCUAAAUAGAUGAAUAUAUGCAUGGAUAUAUUAAAAAAUAUGUUAGGAAAAACUUCUUCAUUAGCUAUUCAAUCAAUUGUAAACAAAAAACACUUCAUUCCUUCCAAAGAUAUUUAUAGAGUCAUUAAAAUAAAUAGAUCAAUAGGAAAGUCUAUGCUCUAAAGAAGAUUAUACUUCCUUUGAAGAAUGCAAUAUACAUUAUGAUAUCUAAGGCUUGUUUAUUUCUGUAAUAUUUGGCAGUACAGCUGCUUAAAAUGUCAAAUAAAACUGAAAUGUAUAAAAUUUUGUAACAUUAUUUUUGACAUUUAUUACUUCCUUUCACUCAGAAUAGCUGAUGUAGUUUGUAAACUUUAAAAUACAGUUUCACUUCUCCUUAUUAUUUUCUGCUUUCAAAGAGCAAAAUCCUUAUAAAAGAGAU